rnacentral:rRNA from 1 species
GACGAACGCUGGCUGCGUGCUUAACACAUGCAAGUCGAACGCUGAAGCCCCAGCUUGCUGGGGUGGAUGAGUGGCGAACGGGUGAGUAACACGUGAGUAACCUGCCCCUGACUUCGGGAUAAGCCCGGGAAACUGGGUCUAAUACCGGAUACGACUAUCGGACGCAUGUCUGGUGGUGGAAAGUUUUUUCGGUUGGGGAUGGGCUCGCGGCCUAUCAGUUUGUUGGUGAGGUAAUGGCUCACCAAGACGACGACGGGUAGCCGGCCUGAGAGGGCGACCGGCCACACUGGGACUGAGACACGGCCCAGACUCCUACGGGAGGCAGCAGUGGGGAAUAUUGCACAGUGGGGGAAACCCUGAUGCAGCGACGCAGCGUGCGGGAUGACGGCCUUCGGGUUGUAAACCGCUUUCAGCAGGGAAGAAGCCUUCGGGUGACGGUACCUGCAGAAGAAGUACCGGCUAACUACGUG